rnacentral:sRNA from 1 species
AUAAAAACGACAAAGGCGACCUGCACGUCGCCUCAUUGUUGCUCCACUUAACAUUCUUGGUUUGGCCGCCGAUCAGUUAAGUCGAGUGCAAAAUUGGUGUUACGCAUAGCUGGCUGUUAGCUUAGAUUCCUUACUAAAUGAAAACUAACGGUUUUUGUAACCUGCCUGAGCAUUGCUCAGGCAUUUCUUU